GAAUUAACUUAAAAGUUUUACAAUAAUAGUACUAGUGAGUAGAUUUUGGAGAUUUGGCAUUUGGAAAGGAAUGAAAAAAGUUGCUGGCUACCACGUGUGCAUUACUAAGGUUUGGAAGGUUCCUUUGAUCCGGUCCCUAGAAUUUGGUUGUUUCUGUGGAAAUUUUUCCCAAAAAAAAAAAAAUUCUGCCUGCAUUUACAACUUUAUAAGGCGGCAUAACUUCAGUUGAUCCACUUUGUGCCUUCCGUCAGCUGCAAGAAGAAAGCUGAGACCAUAUUUUAUUUUCUUGUCAGAUUUCUCUUGUUGCUUGAUUUGGAUCUUAUCUUGGUGUUAAAAGUGAGGAGGUAAUGAAGACUAGGAAAAGUCUGCAAAUGAUUCCUCACCAGUAGAUUCAGCCUCAUGACUCCACUUCUCGUCUUUUCUUGAAAUUUUGGAAUUUUGGAAGCUUUCAUUAUCUCUUCCCUCUCUAUUGGUUGACGGUGGUGUGUUAAUUGCUAUGCUCUAGGAAAUCUUUGCUGUUAAGGGUUCAAAUUUGGGGUAUUUUACUAGCUAUCGACAUUAUUCAUUCAUUCUAUUAAUCAAAUCUACCCUUGAGUUGAUGGUAUGGAAAUCUGCAACCCAAUGGUGGUUGCUAUAGACGUCCUCGUCUGUUUGAGUCAUCUCUCCUGUUUUUCCAUUCCAAGGAAAAGGAGGUGGCAUCAAAAGAGGAAGAGGGAGAAUGAUGGCAUCGUAUCAAGGGAGUAGAAGGAAGUAGAAGAGGGCACAAGGAAACAACCCCAAACGAGAUCUCAUCUACCUUGAACAACUCCCUGUAAAGGCACUAACACUCUCAUGGCAGUUCCUCCACUAUGAUGAUGACAACACAGAUAUGGCCUGUUAUCUUUCCUCUGAUUGCAGGCUCAAUGGGUUUUGGGUCAUUGUAGAACCAUGGGAAUGUUGCUGCUUUGAUAUUGGCAUCAACUAGGAUUCUCAUUUACAACGCCUUUGCUAAAGAAGAACAUUAAGGACGUCACUGCUAAAGGAGAAUGCAUGGGCAAUAUUGUGGAUCUGGUAUCUAUUGCAGAUUAUAAUUUCAAAUCAAACCUUGCUGGGGAUUUUUCUUCUGCAGGGAGAUAUUGGUAAGCAUCUAUGUACGGUGACAUUAUUUAUAGGGAGAAUAUCAGUAAAAGAUCCCGGAAGCAAUUUAAUUUAUAAAAAGAAUGCUGGUAAAUAAACAUUAAAAUUAUAAAGUUUUUAUUUUAACAAGUAAUCGAUCUGUUUAGGUCUUUAUCAGAAAGUAAAUUCUUCCAGAAGCCUUUCAUUCAUAAUUCAAUUGUUGAAAUAUCUCUGAUCUAUGCUUUUCUUACAUUAUAAAAUUCAUUCUGAUGAUUUCGCCUUUGACUGCACAUGAAUUGAUCAUUAUGAUUUUUCCAAAAUAUGUUUUAGGAUAAUAUGGAUAAGUAAGAUUAUAGGGAUGAGUAAAGGAUUUUAAGAAGGGGAAUAAGCCUCGCUCACUUUUUCUUCAUGAUAUGAGAUCCAUUACCCAUUGUCAGAACAAGGUUGUCAUGAUCGAUGUCUGUUGAAAGCUCAUAUAUUUAUUAUUAGUCCAUACACAAUUUUUCCUCCUUCCUUCUCUUGACCGAAUCCUCCUUCCCCUGGCUUUUGAUUUUGACAUGUCAAAAUCUUUGCUGCUUUAUUUUUUUUAUUUUUAUAACUUUCUGUAGUUAAGUUCCUUUCUAUUCCUCAUAUAGUCUACUGAUAAUGCUCUCAAAUGAACGAGCAAAUAGUUAUCUUUUUCUUUCUCCUGUUAUCAUUAGUUUGAUUGAAUGAGAAACUGAUUCAGCAAUGCACCGUGCUGCUUCAAUAUUCAUUCUUCUUCUUCUUCCCUCUUGCGCUUUUAUUUUUCUUUUAGAGGAGAUUUUUUAGAAGAUAUUUGAGCCUGAAAUGUCAAGGUUGUAACAGUCGGAAGUUGAAAGGCAAAUUCAUAGUGCAAGAAAAUAGCUUUGAUCUGAGUCUUGACAUAUUGGUAGGUGAUUCCAGAGAGAAAUGGAGAAUGGGAGUGCACACUUCAAAAUAAUAUGUAUAAAAGUUUACAUGAUUUAAGUAGAUACUUGGAGCGAGAAGAUUUUGUUAUGAUGGUUGUAGAUCAGAAUCCUAGGUUUAUUUUUAUUUUUAUUUUUAUAAAUGCAUGAAUAUUAUAUCAUACACAAAUCAAAAACACAGUUAACUCAACAAAGCAUGAGCAAU